rnacentral:lncRNA from 1 species
CACCGAUUAAGCCUAAUCACCAUAAAAUGAAUUAAUUUGGACUAGUUUCAUUUUUAUUUUUAUUUUUUUACUCAACAAAAUGGACUGAUUUGCACUAAACUUUAAAGCAGUAUAAAAUCUAAUUGAGAACUUUUCUAUGGAAUAAUAAAUAAAAGGGCUUACCACAGCUCCCUUGAUCUUUCACUGGAGGGACAGGGCCUUUGUCUCUCCAGUCAAUGGAAUUUGGCAAGUUGUUGCCGUCUUUCAGUUUAUACCGUCCCGAUCACUCUUCGUCUUCCUAUCACCGAUUUUCGCACACAAAUACAUGGAUCGGUACUCCUCAUUGCUGAGAUCAGUGAAUCAGUUCAAACCCAGUUUAUAGGUCCGAUUCGCAGCGCUGUUCUGCUCAUCUAUGUACCUUAUAUUAUCCAAAAAAGUUCUCGAAGCGAAAGAACAUCGUUUUUGCACCCUCAAUCAACACUAAGACCUUCUAUUGGGGCUGAACGGGAGCAAAUUAAUUGGGCAAAAUAUGGAGAAGUAAAACUUUUGGUCGGGAGUGAAGAAGAGGAGAAGAGAGGAGAGGCGUGAAUUAUGAGCCUGUUUGGGCACGAUUUUUUCAUCCAAAAAAUUGAUUUUUUAAACGUUAUUUCACUAUUUCAACAAUCAUAUUUGAUUUCUUCUCUCACACGUGGACCCCACUUUUUUUCUAACGGUCAAAAAAUCAAUUCUUAAAAUCACUCCCAAACAGACUCUAUUAGUCUAGUGUUUGGAUUAUUUUGGGUCCGUAUAUAAUUUUAUUUGUGUUCAUUUUUUGAUACUUUUUGCAACCUUCAACGAAUGCUGCAAAAAGGAAAAAUGUCUUAAUAAUGAACAUUGCGAAAAAUAAAACUUUUUGCAACAUUUGAUAAAUAUUGUGAAAAGUGAAAUUUUUGUAAUGGCCAGUGAACGUUGAAAAAAGAACCUUUAGCAAUAUUUAGUAAGUGUUGUGAAAAUGGAAUUUUCCACAACAUUCAAUAAACGUUGCAAAAUGUGACAUUAAAAACAUCCAUUUAAAAAAUGUCGUCAAAGCUCAAUUUUGUUAACCAAUAGCAACAUACACUCAUUAAAAUGUUGCGGUAGAUCCUUUAGCAACACUUAGCUACCAAAUGUUACCUUUUAUCUAUUGCAAAUAAUCAUUUUUGGUGUAGUGCCGCAAGUUGUUCUUGCAAUAUAUGAAGACAUUAAUAGAGCUUUUUUAUAACCUGGCAUAUUACAUCCAGGUGGCUUUCUGUGGUUAUCUCCAAGGCUAGGACGAAAUGAGGAAAAACCUUGCUAUAUUGUCGAAAUCUUUUGCCAAAUUCUUUGAUAUAAUGUCAUAUGACAUUUUAUUAUUGGAGUGUUUAAAAAACAGUCAAUUUCUACAUUUAAGCAUACUUUGCCAACAAGUCAUCUGUCAAGGAAUCUGGCAACAUUUUCUCGUAAAAUGGCUUAACUCAAUAAGGAAAGAUGAAGGUGGACUAGAGCGCAAGUGUCAGUGGGAGCCCAAAAAAAGCGCGCAUAUCAACUAGAAUAAUACCAGUAGUUUGAAAGCGUUAUCACAUGGCCCAAGACACAGGUGACCGUUGUAAAAAAGUCUUUACCAUAGCCAUGUUCUAAAGGCAUUGUGCUAGCCGUUGUAUUCCAAAUAUAUACAAAAAUAAAUCAACAAAUACAGGCUCUACCUACUACUUCUUUCCUCUUCAUACUUGUGUAGAUGGUCAUCUACAUCCUGGGCUUGUUUUGAAGAUUUUUCUUUUCAUUUACUUAAUCAGUGCUUCUGAUUAGUUCUUCUGAUAAAAAAAGGAGAUAAAGAUAGAUAUUACAUUUUAGACAUUUGUACCAACUAUAAUUGAGAAGAAAAGCAAAGAACAAUAAGUAAAAACCAUUGGAUCUCUAAAAAUAUUUCUGGGUGAACAUUGGAAUACAAACACCAUGCAAGAGAUAUCAGAAAGUGAGAAUUGAUUUGAUUGUUGCACAUAUUAAACAGAAAUUAUAAAUAAUUCUUCUCCUCCUGAUCAUUCAUGUUUGGCUAUACUUAAAAAAUACAGGUUGGGAACAAGCUUACUAGGAAGGUCAAAGGUUAGGGUCCACGCUUAUUUUACAUUUUUGUUUGACUAGAGCAAUACCUUCCAAUUUCAUUAAUAAUUUUUCAAGAGACAAAUGGAGGAGACUGACGGCCGUGCACCAACUAGCUAAUGUCUUGGUUUGACUUUGUACAUGUAUUCACACAUGUAUUUGAAUGGUAUUUCUAGCGUUUUUAACUGAUAUGUGGGAAACCUCGCAAAAGUAACUUUUCUUUUUCAAGAGAGUUUACGAUACUAAACAAAGUUUUUGCUUCAAAAAAAUGGACAUCAAUUUAAACAUCUUGAAA